rnacentral:rRNA from 1 species
UAGGGAAUCUUCCGCAAUGGACGCAAGUCUGACGGAGCAACGCCGCGUGAGUGAAGAAGGAUUUCGGUUCGUAAAACUCUGUUGUUAGAGAAGAACAGCGCAUAGAGUAACUGUUAUGCGUGUGACGGUAUCUAACCAGAAAGCCACGGCUAACUACGUGCCAGCAGCCGCGGUAAUACGUAGGUGGCAAGCGUUGUCCGGAUUUAUUGGGCGUAAAGCGAGCGCAGGCGGUUAGAAAAGUCUGAAGUGAAAGGCAGUGGCUAAACCAUUGUAGGCUUUGGAAACUGUUUAACUUGAGUGCAGAAGAGGAAAGUGGAAUUCCAUGUGUAGCGGUGAAAUGCGCAGAGAUAUGGAGGAACACCAGUGGCGAAGGCGACUCUCUGGUCUGUAACUGACGCUGAGGCUCGAAAGCGUGGGUAGCAAACAGG